rnacentral:misc_RNA from 1 species
GAUGAAGAACGUAGCGAAAUGCGAUACUUGGUGUGAAUUGCAGAAUCCCGUGAACCAUCGAGUCUUUGAACGCAAGUUGCGCCCGAAGCCAUUAGGCCGAGGGCACGCCUGCCUGGGCGUCACACGUCGUUGCCCCCCCAUCUAAUCCUUCGGGAUUGCGGGGGGCGGAUGAUGGCCUCCCGUGCGCCUCGUCGCGCGGUUGGCAUAAAUGCCAAGUCCUCGGCGACGCACGCCACGACAAUCGGUGGUUGCGAAACCUCGGUUGCCCGUUGUGUGCGGUCGUCGCGCAUCGAGGGCUCGAAAAAAUUGCCGGGCUCCGGCUUGACUUUCAACGCGACCCCAGGUCAGGCGGGGUUACCCGCUGAAUUUAAGCAUAUCAAUAAGCGGAGGA